UCCUUCUGGAGGCCAACAGGUUAAGGACAUGUUGGAUGGUGACAGAGAGCUGACCAUGCUGCUCGUGAGGACCUCAAAUGGAGACUGUCAGAGCUGGCUCCAGCAAGUGUGGGAGCACCGGGAUGAAACGCAGGAGACCACAGGAGUACCGGCCACAACCCUGCAUGUAGCUCUGGUCAAAGGCGCAGCCAUCAGGCCGAUUGCUUCCGUUUUCCUUGUGGUCCUCACGCACUCAAUCGUCCUUGUCGUCCAAGGCAUAGUCCUUUGAGUAACAGGUACUGUGGGUAGAACUGAGUCAGAAGUGAGAGGCAGAUGGCCUGAGGUGAGCACAGAGAAAGGUGAAUAGCAAGCCUUUGUCCUAUUGCCUGAACCUUCUCACCUGAAUAUGAGACCAGAUGUGUUGGACUAGAUUAGCUUCUCCCAAGAAAGAGACUCAUCAGGAGCUGCUGAUGUAGAGGUUGAGGUACAUAAUUAUUACAAGGGAUUGGCUCACGACUAGGGGGUCUGUGAGUUGGAGUAACAGGGAAGCUGGUGGUGGGGUUCCAGCACAAACCUGAACGCCUGAGAAUCAGGGCCUCAGCGGUGUAAGUCUAGGUCCUGUUCCAAAGAACAAAAAGAACAAAACUAGGUCCAGGAGUGCUAAUCAUGAAUGCCCAGGGCAGCAGAAGGAUGGCCCAGCCAAACUGAGAGCAACGUCACCUUUCCUCCACCGUUUGUUCCAUUCAGGCCCUUGCGGAUUCGAUGAGGACAGUCUUCUUAACUCAGUCUACUGAUUCAAAUGCCCAUCUCUUCCAGAAACACUCUCUAGACAGACCCAGAAAGAACGUUUUCCUAGCUACUGGGGUGUCCCUUGGCCCAGUUGAGUUGACCUGGAAAAGGAGUCUCACAUUGCUUGGUUGUAGUUACGUGGGCAAGCUUAGCCUUGAGCUCUGAUAGCGCCUCGCUAAGGCUGAUGGGAAAGCACAGGGCUCUCCCUUCCCUAACCCCAAACUUUACAUCCGGUUUUUGCUAAAAGGAUUGAGCAAAAUCAGGCCUGACUCAGACCAGCUUUUCACCUGGGGAGGCGCCCAAGUGGGGGGUGGUGUACAGACAGUAGGAGCACCGGGCACGGAUAGCACUUUGGUUUGGGGGAGAGCAGCUGGUGGCU
rnacentral:lncRNA from 1 species